rnacentral:rRNA from 1 species
CUGCGCCACAAGUGGCAGCCACUAUUAUUGGGCCUAAAGCGUCUGUAGCUGGUCAAGUAAAUCUCUUGUGAAAUUGUCAGGCUUAACCUGACAACGUGCAGGGGAGACUGCUUGACUCGGAACCGGUAGGUGUCAGAAGUAUUCCUGGGGUAGCGGUAAAAUGUUAUAAUCCCAGGAGGACUACCUGUGGCGAAGGCGUCUGACAAGGACGGAUUCGACAGCGAGGGACGAAAGCCAGGGGAGCAAUCCGGAUUAGAUACCCGAGUAGUCC